GCUGGGUGUGGUGGUGCACACCUGUAAUCCAGCUACUCGGGGGGCUGAGGCAGGAGGAUCACAAUCUCCAGGUCAGCCUGGGAAAUUCGGAAAGGCCCUCAGCAAUUUAGCAAGAACCUACCCCAA
rnacentral:sRNA from 1 species